AGCGGCGGACGGGUGAGUAACGCGUGGGUAACCUGCCUCAUACAGGGGGAUAACAGUUAGAAAUGACUGCUAAUACCGCAUAAGACCACAGCACCGCAUGGUGCGGGGGUAAAAACUCCGGUGGUGUGAGAUGGACCCGCGUCUGAUUAGCUGGUUGGUAAGGUAACGGCUUACCAAGGCGACGAUCAGUAGCCGACCUGAGAGGGUGACCGGCCACAUUGGGACUGAGACACGGCCCAA
rnacentral:rRNA from 1 species